rnacentral:misc_RNA from 1 species
ACACCUCAACUCCUCAUGGUUCACCCAUGAUGAGCUUGGACUUCUGGAGGUUUUGCUGGCCUGCGGUCAGCUCCUCUCAAAUGGAUCAGCUCGCCAGUGUUUGGUGGCAUCACGGGUGUGAUAACUAUCUACGCUCGUGGCCGUCUGCCAGGUAACCUUCGGCAACGGAGGUUCGCUGGGGCUAACAAAAGUCUUUCCCAAGUGGAGACAGCUUUUUGAUC